rnacentral:lncRNA from 1 species
UCUCGUCAAUUUUCAUUGGUCUUCCCUCGCAGAUCCAGCUUGUGUAGUGCUUCCAUAUCUUGUAGUCGAGCGAAAUUUUUCUUCCUCCACCCGACCUACCGCAUCACUCGAUCAGAUUCGUGUAUCUCCACCAUUGCGUACACUAUCAAUAACACAUUCGUGUGCCACAUACUUUGAAUGACUAAAAAUUUUGACUGGACACAUUUUAUGAUAUCUGGAUCGACAUAUGGCAUCUGUAAC